GGGCUUCCAGGGGAAAUGCUGGGCUGGGUGGGUGGGCGCUCUCCAGGGAGUAGAUCCCUCCCGGCCACCCCCAGCUCCUAGUCUGUUGGGUGUGGUAGCUCCAAGAUUUCAAAGCCCAGUCGCCGAGCCCGGUGGUUUCCGAUGCGUCCUACCCUCCCUCCUGCUGCACAUGUAGCUUGCAUUGCUGGGAAGUAAGGGGAGAUUUCCGGCCAGCACAGGCAAAGCCAGGCAGGGUGUCCCCUGAGGCGGCGCAGCAGGAGGACCACCGAGUGUGGCCCAUAUGCCCUGCAUCCGGCCCUCUCCCUGCCUUGUCCUCAGCUGAGGCCUGAGGUGAAUCGUAGGCUGGGCCGAUUCCCCACCCCUGGCCUCAGGGCGGUUCCUCCUGGGUCCAACUGCCCCAGUCCAGGCCAUCUGGGAGGCAGCCUGGGCGGGGAGAGGGAGGGAGGACGUGUGUGGAGCCACUGUCCAGCCCCCGAGACACAAACAUUUCCUUAUGUGGUGGCUCUGAGUGCCCGGGCGACACCCUAGAGGCUGCUGGGGAGGGCCAGAGCCGGACACACCCUGGGUGAUCGCAGAAACAGAGCCCCUGCCCAACAGGAUCUUGGCCUCACCUUGUGGAGGAAAGGACCCCCACCCGGCUCUUUGUCCCCUGGAGUGGCCCACAGUCCCCUAGGAGGAAGUGGUCACUGCCUCUCUACGGGAUGUUUCCCCAAAUUCCUCGUGUUUGCAGGAGAACCUGUGAGAUUAGAGCCCCUUGAUGCUUGGCUCCCCAGGGUCCGUCCUUGGUCCCUCGGUCAAGGGACAUCCAUCUCUAAACUGCCUUCCUCCCUUGGUCAAGGGACAUGCAUCUCUAAACUGCCUUCCUCCCAGCCACUACCCUUACCACCUGACACUGGGUAAGUCACCUCCUGCCUCAGAGCUCCCAUUGGCCCCAGCCCAACUUGCCCCAUCCUGAUUCAGUGGGAAUGGGUAGGAUUCAAGCCCCCUAGUUCCAGACGCAGUCUUCUGCGGUACACUAGGAUCCCAGAGCUGCAGUAGAGAAUCCAGUUAAUACAUCAGUGCACAGACUCUUCAGUUUUAAGAUUCUCUUUCCAUACUGGGGGAGGUCUCAGGAAUCUGUAGAAGGUAGAUGGGGAAAUGGACACUCAGAAGCAUCAGACGCCUCACAAUCCAGAUGCUGAUAAAAUGGCCAAACCUUGGUGUUCAAAGGGAUCUUAGUGGUCAUCUCAUUCAACCCAACUACCCAAAGCAGAAACCUCUUCUACUGCUUCCUUGAUUGCUUCCAGCGGCGGGGAACUCACUACCUUGGUAUGGUUUUGUUUCUUGUUUUUGAGAUAGGGUCUCUCUUUGUCACCCAGGCUGGAUUGCAGUGGCAUGAUCAUGGCUCACUGCAGCCUCGACUUCCUGGGCUCGAGUGAUCCUACCGCCUCAAUCCACUCCCCCUCAAAGUAGCUGGGACCAUAGGUGUGUGCCACCAUGCCCGACUGAUUUCUGUAUUUUUAGCAGAGGCAGGGUUUUGCCACAUUGCCCAGGCCAGUCUCAAACUCCUAGGCUCAAGUGAUCCUUCUGCCUUGGCCUCCCAAAGUGCUGGGAUUACGGGCGUGAGCCACCACGCCCGGCGGGUGUGUUCUGUCUUAUACUUAAAGGAAUUAAAAUUUUCCUCCUUCAG